UUACAUGGAUAUUUUCACACAUAUUCAUUUUGAAAUACGAACUCAAUAACAUAAGGUAUACUGUCUACAUUUCAUAUUCAUCUUAUUCUUUUGUGUAAGCAUAUAUAUGAUGUAAACUUCUUUUUCAGAGAGAGAGAGAGCGAGAGAGAGAGAGAGAGAGAGAGAGAGAGAGAGAGAGAGAGAGAGAGAGAGCUACAUAAGUAUUAUUUUCUUGGUAACAUAUUUUGAUAACUAUAAUACAUGUACAUGUAGAUCUAGAUAUGAUUUACAAUGUAUCUAUUGAUCAAACCAAACAACACACAAAAAGAAAAGAAAGAAAAAAGAAACACAAUCGUAUUUGAUGAAAAAGUACCUAUAGACCUACAUGUAUAUACUGAUCAUGCAUAUGAGUUUUCACAUAUUCUCUGCCAGUGAAUUUCAUAAUCAUCAUGUCUACAGUUUCUUAGCAGCAAGUACUUCUCAACCACAAUUCUGUUCGUAACUAUUUUUCUAAUCGCAGAUAUAUGUACUUGCGGACUAUUUUGAUAUUUACAAGAAAAUAUAUAUUGUUUUACUACAAGCAAAUCAAAUUUUGAAUGUCUAACUGUUGAUUUUUAUUAUACAUUUGUAGAAUCAAUAUUUUAUUUUUACUGACAUGCAUCCCGACUGAGAUAUUAAUUAUAGAAAAAGAAACUUAAGCAAUUACUUGAAUUUAGUAUGUAGUUCCUGUGUUUCAUCUAUCAUCUAAGGAUUUCAACGGUUUAGUUCAGUAAAAAUUGAGACUCCAGUAGUUAAGAAACCACUUUAAAUGAAAGUAGAUGGCUGAGGGGCACACGUACAUGUACAUGUGUUUACAAAUAUCCUUGACAAUUGCGAGGCGAAAUUAAUGUGUUGCUAAGAAAAAAGCAGUUCAUUCUUCAAAACAUUUCCAUGUAUUUGGUUAUCUCACAUGCAGAAUGUCCAGUCUUGUAUAUACCAUUGCUUUAUAGCUCAUAUUGUGAGAACAGAGAAAAGUCGGGCAGAAGAGGGGCACCUUAUAAUACCCCAUAAAGAUGCAGAAGAAAGUUUGUGUGACUGUAUGCUACACCGGUAUUGAGUUUAUUUCAUGAUUUUUAGACCUCUAAUAAACGUAAACUUUUCAUUAUAACACAACAUAAAGCACACUACAGAUUAUUUACAUUUAAAAUUGUAAACAAAGGGCGGCCAUUUUGAACUUAGAGUCGCAGGGACGCUAUUUAAAAAAAUUCUAUGAUAUAGAAAAACGAUGCAGAAAUUUAACACAUGCAUGAUUUUUUAAAUUCAGACGUUUGUGAAACAAUUUACACACAAAAUAAAUUAUAUAUCUAUAAAAGUAUGUUUUCCCAUAAAUCCUCUCCUGAUCGCUGAUUGGUUGUAAUUUUCGGCGGGCAAAAUUGAUUGUUGUUUGUGAGAGAAAACCUAGCGUGACUCAAAUGGAACCAUGUCAUGUUUUGAUUGAAUGGAAGAUCCAAAGAUUUUUCUGAGAAUAGGAGACGUCUACUGUUGUUGGGCAUCAUUCAGGUAUGUCUUUUAGAGGGUAUUGAGUAAAAAUUUCUGGAACUUUUUAAAACAAUCUUCCAUUAUGCAUCCUCACUGAAUAUUUUAGUAUGAGUCUGUCCAUAGCCAAUACUGGCAAUUGCCGUCUCAUUUAAACGAUUUUUGACGGGAUAUCAUGUUAUCUCUGACUAUACAAAUUUUCAUUUUCUCAUAAAAGAGCAAUGAUAUUUAAUAUUCAUUUCAUAAUCACAACAGACCACAUCAAAACAUGCUUGAUAUUCACCUUUUAGAAUUUUGAAUGCAAAAAAAAAAUAUUAAAAAAUAUCCUGUCCCGAUUCGGAAACAGGACGUUAUCUAACCUAUUCUUUCUCUCUAUAUAUCAUUGUAGGUAUUUCCGGUGUUGACUUGAAACGUUUUUAUUCACGAUGUUGUUGCGGAUUCAUCAUUGCAUUUGCAUGGGGUAGUGCAUAUGUUGUGUGUGGCCUUCUAAACGAUAAAUCUAUGGAUUAAAGGAUGAACAGGUCGAUGCAGGAAUAUUCAUUCUAAUGAUAAGGAAAUACGAAAUGCAAGGACAACCUCCAAGCAUGUAGUAUGCCUUAGAUCUAUACAAUGGUGGAAUGUUCCAUUAUAUGGUGGCGCCCAGUUUUUAUUGGUGGAAGAGAGAACCCAGAUACAAUGUACCUGGGAAGAGACCAUCAACCUUCCGAAAGUAAACUGGGAAACUUUCUCACUUAACGGCAUGAGUGGGAUUGAAACCCUCGCCAACAGAGAACUAGAUGAGCAGAAGAUGCAUUCCAUGACUGACUCCCCAUAUGAUAUGAAAGAGAGCCCAUGAGAAUGGAACCAACUUUCAGUGUUACAAUGGAUGAACACUCCUCCUGUCACAAGUCCAUCUUGAUUCAGUAAAGUGGUAGUCUAUUUAUCUAGGAAGCAACAAGACGGAUCUGGACAAGGACCAUAUUGACUCAAGUUUUGGUGUCAGAAGACCAUUUUGAUUAAACAUGUUAAAAGCACCACAGAAGUAAGAAGCUAGGAUACCAGUUUUAUAAACUAAAGAGUCGAAAGGCCCAGCUGGAGAGAAAUUCCCAUUUCUCGACCAAGGACAAAAAAAAAAAAAGAUUAAAAAGGUGCUGACUAAGGAGGCAACGUCUCCAGAAGUAACGGAUGAUGAGAAAGCCACCCAGAGGAAGGUCUUACCAUUUAUAUGGGAGUCAUCCCUGCUGCGUAAUGUUAAGUGCGACCUGGACAGAGAGUAUGCUGAAUCUUUGCAACUUCAAUCAAAUAGACAAAAAGCCAAGGCCAUUAGAAGUAGAACGGAAAUGACUAUGACCCCACCACCUAGGAGCAUUCAAGAGUGGACCGUUUCCUCUACUUAUAAAUGAUGCUAUUACUGUUAAUAGUUAUAUUUAAUUUCCUCAUUUCUAGCUCACCUGAGCCAAAGGCUCAAGGUCACAAUUAAUACUUUUAUACCAUUAUAACCAGUUUUUAUUAAAUUUUAAUAAUGCUGUUGAAGGAGAAUUGCAAUUUUUUGGAUGUUUAUAAUUGACACUGUUUAAGUAUGUCUAGCAUCUUAAAAAGUGAGAUGACCUAUAUAUUUCAUUUCAUAAUUUAUUAAUUUUAACUUAAAUUGAAAUAAAUGCAUUUUUGAUACUUUUAUCAGAGAAUAUUGCAAGUAUGGAGUUACCUUGAUAUAUUUAUACAGAUUUGUUCUGCUUUAGUACUAGUGUAUCAGUAUUAUUACAUCAAGUUCAUUUGUGUGAAUAUUAUAAUAUUUAAGAAUGAAUAAAACUGUCAAAUUGUG